rnacentral:rRNA from 1 species
AGCGAACGCUGGCGGCAGGCCUAAUACAUGCAAGUCGAGCGCACCUUCGGGUGAGCGGCGGACGGGUGAGUAACGCGUGGGAACGUGCCCUUUGGUACGGGAUAACAGAGGGAAACUUCAGCUAAUACCGUAUGUGCCCUACGGGGGAAAGAUUUAUCGCCAUUGGAGCGGCCCGCGUUGGAUUAGGUAGUUGGUGAGGUAAAGGCUCACCAAGCCUACGAUCCAUAGCUGGUCUGAGAGGAUGAUCAGCCACACUGGGACUGAGACACGGCCCAGACUCCUACGGGAGGCAGCAGUAGGGAAUCUUGCGCAAUGGGCGAAAGCCCGACGCAGCCAUGCCGCGUGAAUGAUGAAGGUCUUAGGAUUGUAAAAUUCUUUCACCGGGGAAGAUAAUGACGGUACCCGGAGAAGAAGCCCCGGCUAACUUCGUGCCAGCCGCCGCAGUAACAC